AUGCAUAUGUUUGUCAUUCAAAGAACUGGUCAAAACCAUGAAUCAUCACUGUAUACAACGAAAGGCCCUGAAUAUAUAAUGUAUGUAACGCGUCCUUUAAUUUGCAUAGUAAUUUCCAAGUUCAUUAAUGUAUACGCGCUGGUGAGAGGCCUUGCCGACGGUGAAACUCCCAAACCACGUAUCUCGUUUGCGCUGUUUAAAAAUCUCCACUCCUAUUUUCUUUUUUCAGAGGAGAACAAAUCAACAUCCUCCCUUUAUAUUUUUUCAGAUUACUCGCAUAGGACACAGAACAGGGUGUCUAGCAUCAGGAUUUCCCGAUUCUAUCAAGAUUUAAAGUUAAUCAGGGUUUAUUCCGGUUUCGUCAAGAUCUGAGGAAAACUCGGCUGUAAAAUCAGGAUUUGAGAAGAGUCGGCCAUCCGAUCAGUUCGAUCUGGUUCAUUAGCGUGUAUUUACAUUUUCAUUCAUUUACACUUGUUUUUAAUCUAUAGAACUUACUUUUAGAGUUCUCUUUUUGCAUACGCUUAUGCAGAAAUUUUAUUUUUCUUCGCAAAAAAUCAGGAUUUGGAAAAUUAUGAAAUCAGGAUUUAGCAGUCAAAAAUCAGGAUUCCUUCAGGAUUUCCCAAAAUGAAAAAACAAACAACUAGACACCCUGGAGAAAUCUCGUAAGUUUUCACGAAUUGACGUUGAGUGGUGCUUCAUUUAAAGAAUGAAGUAUGACAGGAAGUCUGCGACGUCGUCGCAAACCGAGAGAUACGUGGUCAUGGUAACGUUUAGGCCGCGAUUUGUCUCUUCUGCUUUUCAUGAGCGGAAUGUUCUGUUUUCGGCAUCAAGAAACGCUAUAUAUCUUCGUUAGGUAGGUUUCAAUAAUUUUCGUUCCGCGAAUCGUGUUCUUCGUGAAAUUUUGUCGAAGCAACAUGUAUCAGAAUGCUUCGCACCUUGUCUACUGGUCCAUUAUUUAAUGAACAAGCGAAUAGUCGUCGCAACUGCUUUGCGUUAUUGGUUUGGUUUAAUUUUUCUUCUUUUUCACGUGUGUACUUUACAUUUACCCGCUUUGCUUUUUUCAAAGGAGAAAUGCUCUGGUGCCUAUCUUAAGAACAGAACCAACGCUAUGUGUACAAACGUCCGUUAUCUAAAAGAGUUCAUUCAAUCACUUCAGUCCGGGGUUUUUUUUUUUUUUUUUUUUUUUUUUUUUUUUUUCGUGCCACAUGUUUACAAAUUUUACGAAUUAAAAUGUACUACUACUUUUAUUCACAUAUCAGUCACUUUUUGCGCUUCUUUUUUCCAGGAAAAUUAAAUUACGCAAAACAAGUCCCAGUUUAAGAGAAGGAUUCGACCACCGUUUCAAAAAGUUUUCGAAACAAAUUAGGAACCGGGAACACAGUCGAAACUUUACGUGUUACAAAUGUGGACUCGAGUUUGAAAGAAAAUCGGAAUUCGUGGCGCACUGGUUGGAGCAUGUGAGAGGCAACAUGGAAAAAACAUCAAGAAAGAAACAGAUGAAAACAGGCCCAUUCAAAUGCAAGAUUUGCGAGACAAAAUUGUAAAAAAAUCGACUCUGAGAAGCAUCUUCGCGAAGAUUGUCAUCCUUCCUCAGGAGUUCCGAAUGAGCCUCCGAGAACGCAGGGUCAAUCGAAGUUAUUCAGUUGUUCGUUUUGUGAUUAUAAAACCUCUCGUCGAGGCGAUUGACGAUCUCACUUAGUGGUCCAUUCAGAUUUGAGACCUUUCAAAUGCGACUUAUGCCCUCUAGCAUUUAAAAACUUAGUUCCAAUAUGAGGAAACAUACGCGCGAGUGUCAUCUCAACGUAAGGGCUUUUAAGUGUGAUGAAUGUCCAAGUGCAUUUACGCAAAGCACCAGCCUAAACUUUCACAAAGCAUCAGUUCAUUCCGACCUCAGACCGUUUAAAUGUAAUUUGUGCGAUGCAUCAUUCAAGUUGAAGUCCACAGUGAGGAGGCAUAAAUUAAAUGUUCAUUCCAACCUUAGACCCUACUCAUGUGACCUUUGUGAUCGUGCCUAUAAACGUAACGUCGUAUUGAAUAUACAUAAACGGAAUAAACAUGGCAUGGUGUGAAAUGAUAAACAACCGAAUAUUCAUAAAUUGUGAAGUAGCCUAAUUUUGGAAAUUUUACGCGUUUCAUCGCAAGGAAACCUAAGUGGAUACGUUUGGACAUUAACGCUUAUCAUCCGCGUUUUAAUGAUCGUCGUUCAUCUGUCUUAAAACUUAAAAUUACUUGGUUGAAUUCUCUCCUACCACAUUUUAAGAAAUGCAUAACUUAUUAGAAGUUCUUCGCUCAAAUUAGCGUCAAUCUAUAUUGAGCGACGGUUGUGCUAUGUAUGUAGGUCGUUAUCGAAAUGUCUACAUGACUGCUCUCACAUUGUAAGUUCUAUCAAAUUGUGUGAAUGUUUUCUCCUCCUCUCUCUCUUCCAAGAACAGUCUAUAAUGAAUCACUUCACUCUACAAUUUAAUUUUUAUUACCGGAGGAAAGGAGGAAUUUUCUUUUAGGUUUUUAGAACCAAGAAGAGCCAUGAUGGCCUGAAAAAACUCUAUGGAACGAAAUAUCCUUACGAAGAUUUAACAAGGUCAUAAAAUUGUGCUGGGUCCACAUUAUUUUGCGGAGCAGCAAGGCCAAAAAAUUCCAAAAAUUUCAAUUACAGUCAAAAAUUUGAGCUGUAAUGCUCAGAUGAACACUCUUUCCGUCAGUCUCGUACUGAUACUGGUUCGUCUCAAAUGUAUUACUCUGGUCGAAAUUUUUAAAAUUUCUUGCCUUGUUUUCCCCGAAAAAAUUGUGUGAACCCAUCACUUUUUUACCACCUUGUAACGUACAGCUCGGGCCACAUGUUAGUGUUUUUUUCUGUUUUCUUUUUCUUUUUUCUUUUUUCUUUUUUCUUUUUAUUUUUUCUUUUUUAUUUUUUAUUUUUUCUUUUUUCUUUUUUAUUUUUUUCUUUUUUAUUUUUUAUUUUUUCUUUUUCUUUGUUUGGUGGUACUGCGAGCAUAUCACCCACCGGUAGAUACUUUGACGUAUCCCAGAGGAUACACGACUACUAGAAGUCGUCGGCCGUUCUUUCCGCAAAAAGAGCUAAAUCUCUUCUAGCAUUGGAUUUAAGACUUUUUAGCAUACAUCUAGGUUUCGGAACGUGUUUGAUAGGUAUGUGAUCUGUCUUUUAAAAGAAAGGAAAAAUCGGAUAGAACAACAGUUCAGGUUUCAUCUUCACAAGAGGUUUUUUAAAUGCAAUGAAUGUUCUUUGUAUCAAAUUGCCACGGCAACUUAAAACAACAUCGAGGGAAAUUAUUUCGGCCACUGGUCAUUUACUGUAAUUUUUUGACAUUUCUUCAAAUUUAAUAAAACGGAUUCGAUCAGAAUCAGCAUUCCUACAUUUCACUUUACCUAAUUUCUUACCGUAUUCAAUUUUUCAUACCCGAACAAUUAGGGAACGUAGUGCCUCAAAACCGUCGCUGUUUGCUUAGAUUAAGGAGGAAAAUAAACUUCUCGAGGUUUAAGGCAUAAUGUUGCCUAUUUCCCUCUGAAAAAAUAAAAAUGAAAGGUUACGAAUGUAUUUAUAGUAGCUAGAAACCAUAUUCAUGUGACUAUUGUGAUAAUCAUGUUGAGGGAAACCUUCUCAUAUAUUUCUCAGGGAGCAUUUAUUUUCAAUCUGCCCAUCACCAAUUACUAGGAUUCUAAGCAUGCCCAUGUGUCAUAAUUAAGCUCAAUGUGAGCACCUUGUUUAUUUUCUUACUCGCUCAGGUAUAGUUUCUUUUCCUGAUAUUGUUUUGUUUAUUUUCAAUAAAUGUUACGAAGAAACUUUACACAUUGUUUUUAUUACAACUAACAAAAUAACUUUCCACUCUUGAAUCAUUUUGAAUAUUUGUUUUUGAAUCUAUCGUUAGGGGUAACGAGAGAUGG
rnacentral:lncRNA from 1 species